GGAAUUUUCCGCAAUGGGCGAAAGCCUGACGGAGCAACGCCGCGUGGAUGAUGAAGCCUUUCGGGGCGUAAAAUCCUUUCAGUGGGGACGAAGCGAGUGACGGUACCCACAGAAGAAGCACCGGCUAACUACGUGCCAGCAGCCGCGGUAAUACGUAGGGUGCAAGCGUUGUCCGGAAUUAUUGGGCGUAAAGAGAACGUAGGCGGUUUGUUAAGUCUGUUCUUAAAGACCAGGGCUCAACCCUGGGAGUGGAAUGGAAACUGGCAGGCUGGAGGACGUCAGAGGAAGGUGGAAUUCCCAGUGUAGCGGUGAAAUGCGUAGAUAUUGGGAGGAACACCAGUGGCGAAAGCGACCUUCUGGGACGAUCCUGACGCUGAGGUUCGAAAGCUCGGGGAGC
rnacentral:rRNA from 1 species